CACGUAGGGGGCGAGCGUUGUCCGGAUUUAUUGGGCGUAAAGAGCUCGUAGGCGGUUUGUUGCGUCGGCUGUGAAAUCCCGAGGCUCAACCUCGGGUCUGCAGUCGAUACGAGCAAACUAGAGUGUUGCAGGGGAGACUGGAAUCCUGGUGUAGCGGUGAAAUGCGCAGAUAUCAGGAGGAACACCGGUGGCGAAGGCGGGUCUCUGGGCAACAACUGACGCUGGAGGAGCGAAAGCGUGGGGAGCGAACAGG
rnacentral:rRNA from 1 species